CGUAAAUACUAAGACAUAGACCUCAUGGGCUUCCUUUGCCAGGUUUGAGAAGAAGGAAUGAAUGCAGGGAAGGAAGGAGACAGAAUCCUGCUUUGGAAAUAGUCAUGUGCCAUAUAAUGACAUUUCAACGAUGGACCACAUACACAAUGGUGUUCCCAUAGGAUUAUAAUGGAGCUGUCCUAUACAGCACCAAAGAACCCAGAAUUAUUCUGCUUAUUGGAGCACUCGACAAUCCAGUUUUCUGAUGGGAGAGGCCUUUCAAUAAGAGUAGCUUCUGAUAUGGUUUGGAUUUGUGUCCCCACCCAAAUCUCAUGUCAAAUUGUGAUUCCUAAUGUUGGAGGCGGGGCCUGGUG